UUAUGUUAGCACCCGGUCGCCCCGACCGACGGCUGUAGUGGCCAGCUGUGCAGUGUGUUGACUUACACAGAUGAUAGUAUGACCGCUAUGAUUCACCGAUAAAGUUGUUAGUCUCGUAUUGCAUUACAAACAGUGAGUCUAGCUAGCUUUAUGACGCUUUCUGCUCUGCUAACUUCAUCAAACUGAAUUUACAAACUUUUGGGCUGUUCUAGACAACCUACAAGGCCAGAUGUUGCCUGCCAAACAGACCCAGUAGAGCAACGUUCUGUGCACACACAGUUGUCCUGGAGGACUUUCCAUCCAUUCGUCAGGAGUAAAGGUGUACAGGCUACUGUGUCCUGCAAGGACUUUCGUGGUGGCACAGACCCUGUUCUGUAUGAUGAACCCCUGCCGCUUUUCACAUCCACCCCAGCAAAGAGGCCAGCAAAGAGACCUCGCCUGGAACUGGAGGAGGAGGAUGAGGAAGACGCAUUGGAGGGCAGCUCUUCCUUUUUAGCUCCACAAGGGCUGGAUGCUACGUACGACCCUGAGGAGUCGGUCACACAUGUGACAGCCUCAACAGACACCUCUGGUCAAGCACCCACUGCCACCCACAAUGUCAAC